AUUGAACGCUGCCGGCAGGCCCAACACAUGCAAGUCGAACGAGUGGCGGACGGGUGAGUAAUGUCUGGGACACUGCACGAUGGAGGGGGAUAACUACUGGAAACGGUAGCUAAUACCGCAUCCCAUCGGAUGUGCCAAGAUGGGAUUAGCUAGUAGGUGGGGUAACGGCUCACCUAGGCGACGAUCCCUAGCUGGUCUGAGAGGAUGACCAGCCAAACGGGAACACAGACACGGUCCAGACUCCUACGGGAGUCCGCAGUGGGGAAUAUUGCACAAUGGGCGCAAGCCUGAUGCAGCCAUGCCGCGUGUAUGAAGAAGGCCGUCGGGUUGUAAAGUACUAUCAGCGAGGAGGCGUUACUCGCAGAAGAAGCACCGGCUAACACCGGGCCAGCCGCCGCGGUAAUAC
rnacentral:rRNA from 1 species